UACGUAGGGGGCUAGCGUUGUCCGGAAUCAUUGGGCGUAAAGAGCGUGUAGGCGGCCCGGUAAGUCCGCUGUGAAAGUCGGGGGCUCAACCCUCGAAUGCCGGUGGAUACUGUCGGGCUAGAGUGCGGAAGAGGCGAGUGGAAUUCCCGGUGUAGCGGUGGAAUGCGCAGAUAUCAGGGAGGAACACUGAUAGCGAAGGCGCUCGCUGGGACGGUACUGACGCUGAGGCGCGAAAAGCGUGGGGGAGCGAACAGG
rnacentral:rRNA from 1 species